GAAAGAUUUAUAAACUAUUUAUCUAAUAGCAUGUCAAUGUUGAUUUUCAUUACUAUAAUAAAAUUAAGAGAUGUGGUGUGAUUGCCAAUGCAAUGAGACAAUUGAUAUAUAUGACAAGGAUUUUAGCAACUCAUAUCACUUUACCACCUUCAACAAUGAGCAAAACCUAUACUGUAUUGUUAACUAUAAAAGUCCCCAACAUGAAAAAAUGUGAAACAUUCAAUGGUAAAACUAAUGGCCUGAUGAAUGAUAAAUCAAUUAUAAAGAAAAACAAAU
rnacentral:lncRNA from 1 species